GAAAUGCGAUAAGUAGUGUGAAUUGCAGAAUUCAGUGAAUCAUCGAAUCUUUGAACGCACAUUGCGCCCUUUGGUAUCCCUUGGGGCAUGCCUGUACGAGCGUCAUCUAAACCCUCAAGCCCUGCUUGGUGUUGGGUGCCUGUCCCGCCCCCGUGCGUGGACUCACCUCAAAUCCAUUGGCGGCCCUCGUGCCGGCCCCGAGCGCAGCAGAAACGCGGUCUCGUGGCCCGGCGGAGCGUGCCCCCAGAAGCAACAUUCACCGUUUUGACCUCGGAUCAGGUAGGGAUACCCGCUGAACUUAAGC
rnacentral:misc_RNA from 1 species